CCACAAACCCCAGGCAGCUGAAUCAGAGCAUGCAAACUUAACCACUACACCACUGGGCCAGGAGGGCCUGGGGAAUUUUUAAACUACUGAUACCUGGGUUCCACCCGCUCCAGCAGAUUCUGAUACAAUCAGUAUAAAGGUUUAUGUCCUGGACAUCAGGAUUUUCUUUUUUAAAGCUCCCUAGGUGAUUCAAAUGGGCAGCAAUGUUUGAGAGCCAGUCUUAGAUCAGAUUCUUAGCUGAUUCGAUGGAGUGGCUUCUCUAGGGGUAGGUGUCCGUCCUGGUUCGGGCAGCUGUGGAUGGAGGUGGAGUUCACAAGUAUAAACACGUCAGGCCCACUCAGGACUCUCUAAGCCAGGUGGGCAAGCAGAACAGGAGAACAGGCAGGUAGGCAAGGAUCAGCAUAUCUGGAAGAGUAAAGGGUUUGGAGUCCAAAAGGCUUGGCUAUAAACCCUGGCAUUACCAUUUCCUAGUUGUACGUUCUGCUCCAGAAAUUCUGAUUUCAGAACUCUUUGAGCCUUAGUUUCUUUAAGUGAAAGGUGAAGGCUACAAUUUCUGAUCCACAUCCUUCUCAGAGUGUUUAGAGGGUCAGUGCAGUGCUGUCCAACCAGGGGUGUGCAGGGGAGACUCAACUGGGAGAAGUUUCUAAGGAAAACAGGCUAGUCUUCCAUACCAGAGGCUGCAAGUCUCAGGGUGGUAUAGGCAUAGGUGUUUUUACAAGCUCCCCAGAUGAGCCUGCUAUGCAUCCCUGGCUGGGAAACACUGAUCAGCUGAGAUCAUGUAAAUGAAACCUUAGGACUGCCCUUGACUCUUCCACCAAACCCCAUGGAUUCAACUCCCUAAAUAGCUCUUGAAUCCAUCCAUCCAUCUCAAGCUUAGAGCCUUAUUUGGAGACUAAUGUAGAACAUCCCUCACCCUCCAACUCUUCCUAAUUCCUUGCAAUCCAUCUUCCACAUAGCUGCCAGUGCAAUCUUUCUAAUACAGGAAUCUGCUUAUGUCAUCCUCCUGAUCAUGAAAAAGACCAAAGGCCUUGGAGUGGUAUGCAAGGACACUGAUGGUCUGGCCAUACCUCAUUUUCCAUCACUCUCCUCCUCAUACCCUAUGAUCCAACAGUGCUGUCACCCCUAGGAGGGCUCCAUUCUCUCUCAUGUCUGUGCUACCUGGAAUGUCCCUCCACAUCUUUUCCUGACAAACUCCUGCUUUUCCUCACUCAGCUCAACCAUCCCCUUCCCUGUGAGCCCCCUAGACCCUUCCUGCUUCCCCCCAGAGGUUGAGGGAGAUUUGGGGCCUGUUCUAAUUUAUGUAUUUUAAAGUAUACUUCAAAAGAUGAAGAAUGCCCAAAGAAAGUUACAAAAAAGUUGUCAUUCUAUCUCUGUGAAUGUAUAUUCAUUUGGUGACAAAUCAAACAUCCUAAUUUGAAAUGUAAAUUCUCACAUUUUAAAAAUGUAAGACUUGGCUAAAUGACCUUUCUGCUCCCUAACCCCCAUCCACCCCACUCAAAUGUCCUGCUUUGAGGCUGCAUAAUCUCCAGAUUUGGGGAGCCAUGCAUCCAGUGGUACACAAAGUAUAUCCAAGAGAUAUGGGUGCGGAGGCAAAUUUUAAGAGAAUUUCUAGAUCCUCGACUUCUCUAGGUACUUUUUCUUAAACUGAUCUGCCUAAGAAAGUGCUUGUUGCUGAGGCCUCAUGCUGUUUCUCCUUUCCUUUCCUCCUCUUCCACAAUCAUACUCCUCCCACUUUACCAGAGAUAUGCGUACUUCCCACCCAACCUAAAUCUUACUACAGUUCAGGGCUCUAGUUCCGGUGUAAGAAGUCUGGGGCACCAAGGGGCAAUGAAGUCGGCUGUCUCUGCAGACAGAAGUUGGCUGUCUGCAAAGUCUUUCGUUGUCAAGGCACCACAACCACCCAUAUCCAUCUCCCUAGAUUUGUAGUUUCAUUAAAGUUUUGCUUUCUAAGGUCCAUAAUAAAUUUACCCAAAAAUGUAAUAUAUGUAUAUGGUUUUGAUCAAUUGUAUAGUAGUAAUAAAGGUGACUGUAAAUCAUACCUAAAGAAAAUCUUUAAAAACUUUUUGAGCCUUAUGUUCAGAGACAAUAAAAAUAACAAUCUCAGUCUGUAGAUACGGUUUUAUGGCUGAAAAAUAUGAUGAGGGUGAAUACAAGACUUUCAAGCACAAAAAUAUAUGACAUGAGGAACAAAUUCAAGGAGGGAAAAUACAAUGGAAACAACGAUUCUGAGGAAAAAAGCAGGGCUGCACAAAUUCCAACUGCAUUUUUCAAAUGUAUGUUGGUAUCAAAUCUCUAGGGUUUCUAUAGUUCAUUGGAUACAUUAGAAAGAGGCAUGUAGUGGUUUAUUUCAAAACACCAAUACUUAGAGCAGCUAUUGCAUCCUUUGCAACUAUUUAAACUUGUGAUGAAAAAUUUUAAACGUCAACUUUAUAAUGUGCAUUGCGGCUUCAUGGUUUAAAAAGAAUUUUAGGGAGUAUGUGAGUAAGAAAAUGGGAAGAUCAGUGCUCUAAGAAAUGUUAGGCCUCAUUUCUAGGUGAGUCUCUGAAUACCUAGGGUGAGGGAUGGAAGUGAGAACAAGAGGCCAGGGGAGAGUUUGGACUCGGGGAGGGGAUGAAGACUAGGAAAGCUGGCCUGGAUGUAGAGGCUCAUCCCCCGAGGGCAACUGGAUAGCUCUGGACAGUGUUCAAAUGCAGGGCAAGCUAAGGCAAGAUGCAGGCAGUGAUAAUCUGAAGGCCCAACCCAGCAGGCUGCGCCAAACUAGCGUGAAAGGUCUGUCCAGGAGGUAGGUAAACCUCAAAGUCACCUAUGUGAGAGCUGAUGAGCCUGCAUUCCAACCAGGAACCAUCCUCCACUCCCCUCAUGGGGAGGAGCUUGGCAAAGAUGUCAAGACCUCAAAUAAGGACUGGACUUCAGAAGAAUGUUCUCAGAUCAGAGAGGCUGGCCACUGCAACAAUCAACCCCAGCAUCUCAAAGAUUUAAUACAGGGAAGACUUUUGUCCCUCAUGUAACAGUUCAGUGACUCAGGGACCUCUGUACCUUCUUUCUUAGUCUCCACCUUCCUGAGGCUGUCUGUUGCAGCCAGAAGAAGAAGAGAGAGAGGAUCAUGUGGCAAUGUUUAUUGACCAGUGGUGAAGUGACAGCCAUGAUCACUUCUGCUCUUAUUCCAGUGGCCAGAAUUCAGUUAUAUGGCCACAUCAAAUACAAGGGGAGCUGGAAAAAGUGAUCUAGAUGAACAUCCAGAAGGAAAAGAAAUGGUUUGGCACUGUGCCAGGCUUUGUAGGAUGAAAAGAAGUCAGAGGGAGGGGCCUUUGGACCAAGUCCUCACUGACUCAAAGCCCGGGAGGCAGAGGAAGCUCACCAUCUUCUUCAUCAGCCUUUCGUCCAUAAAAGGUCCUUUUGAUUUACUACCAAGAAGCCAUCUCUGGACCACAGAGGCAAGAUUUCAAAAAUUCUUCCCCAGUUCCUGACUAAAGAUGCCCAAAGAGACUUCUAAGCCAAUGACCUUCAAAGAGGGAAUGGAAUUCUUGGCUUUGAAGAGAAGGGCUUGAUGGUUGGGUGGUUUGUUAUGUCUUAAAUGUGAAAUGGGAGAGUUGUCCCACAUGGGCAGCGUGUGAUGGGUCUGUGGACUGAGGGCUUGUGAGUGACUGGGCGUCUGCACAGCUUGGCUUCAUAUUGGUUCCUGCCAUAUUAGAGUCCAACGUCCCUCAGGCAUGCAGAAGCAGUCAUUUCUUCUAAGAGAUUUGAAGACACCAAAUAUAAAAUGAGUUGCCCAAAGAGAAUCUUAAGUUAAGGCCAUUGUACCUAUUCUUCCAAGAGAGGAGAAAGGUGUUUGAUGAUAAAAGUAGAGCUGAACCCUAACUUAUAACUGCUCAAUCUAAACUGGGUGGUGCCACCAAGAGGAUGGAUGCCCACUGACCUGUGUACAAAGCUAUCAUCUAUUACGGAUGUCAGAGUAUGUAAACAUUAUCUAUGUGAGGGCAUCACCCAUUCCCACACCAUUACUCCCUGCUCUGUCUUCUGAACAGAACUGUUUUCUGUCCUCUUUGAAGGAAAAAACGGUCUGAAAUAUUGAACUGGGAAAAGUGCUCCAGGCACACAUUCUACUCCCCGGGCCCUCACGGCAGUUAUUUAUUGAGGAUGUAUCAUGUGCCAGAGACUAGACAUUUGUUAUGUCAUUAGUUCUCUCCACAACCCUCAGAGGUGGAGAUUACACCUUCAUUUCACAGAUGAAGAGAUUUAGGUUCAAAAUUGCUUAGUGAUUGCUCAAGGUCACACACCUGCUAAGUGACAGCUCUGAAUCCAGUUUCAUCAAGCUCCUCACCACAGAACCUCCUUCUCACAUGCCAGAGAUGCUGAAUUCCUUGGCCUGCGCUGUGGCCCACGCAGUGCCAAUGUUUUGAGCUCCUCAGGUGACUCUAAUGGCAGCCUGGGCUGGGAACCACCACACUCCAUCAGCCUUCUUAUAAAUCAGGGGUCUUUAUUCUAUCUUACAUCACAGAUUAUUUUAGGGGGAGGAAAAAGAGCCAUAGAUCUCCUCUACAGAAAAAUGAAUAUAUGUGUUUAUACACAAAAAGUUGCAUACAAUUUCAGGUAAUUAUGAAAGUUUUGAAGCUUCUAUGCAGAUGCCCCAAAGCUCAGGAACUCAAAGUAAGGCCAAGUCUAUAAAUCCUUGGCUCCAAUUACUUGGCCACCCAUGGGAGUUAGCAGGGAGUCUUCAAAAAAUUUCAAUUUCUGGGCCCCACUCCAGAUCUGCUAACUCAGUAUUGCUAGGUCUGUAGUCCUGUAAUAUGCUCCCAGACAAUUCUUAGACUUCCACCUAGAAAACAGUCUUUGGACUGGUUUUUGGGAACCGCCCUCUAAAUGAUGCCCAUUCAAUGGAUCAGAAUUCAUCUCUGUCACUUCUAGGUAAUGUUAGGUAAGCUACUUAACCUCCCAAACCUUCUAUUUUCUCUUCUGUAAAAUGGGGAUAACAAUUGUCCCUACCUCAUAGGGUUGACAUGGAUUAAACAGUCCAUGUAAGUGUUUAGCACAGUAUCUGGCAUAUAAGCACUCAAUAAGUGUUAAUUUAUUAUGAAUUCUAUAGUGCUAUCAUGCUAUUAUCUAUGUAAUUAACCUCUGUAAAUGGUCUUUUUGUGAUAAAAGUGGGAAUCGAAUCUAAUUUCUAGUAGACUGUCAACAACAAUACAUGAGAGAAAGAAAAAAAUUCAAAGUUUAUUAAACAUUAAGAAUAACAGACAAAGGUUUGGACUUAACAGCAUAAACACCACCGAUACCACGUGUACAAUUAAACUGACCUCAUGUGAACUUG